UUCCGAUUAGUCUAGUGGUUAGGAUAUCGGCUUGUCAUCUUAGCAAAAGAGAAACAUUCGCCGGGGACCGGGGUUCAAUUCCCCGAUCGGAAG
rnacentral:tRNA from 1 species